UUUUGCCCAGGUCCAUGCCAUCAACAUCUGUAAAACAAUAUUCAUAUGAGUAAAAAUCCCAAGGUAAAAUUAGAGGAGUCCACUAAUUAUAAAAGUCACAAUAUCAAGAUUUUUGCUUCUGGGAAGAUGAAGUAGAUGUGUUUUUUCCUGUAAAGCUAUUAAAUACAACCUCACAUGUUGGACAUUAUAAGUAAAUAAAUAAAAGACUCUGAAAGUGUAAAGAAAUAGGCAGACAAGCUAGGGACCCCAGGACCCAAGGAACAACAUGGUGAUUAAUACUCUGGGUGUUCUUUUAGCCCCUAAAUCUCAGACUUGAAGCUGAAGAUGAUGGCAACCCAGAAACACCAAGAGGUCCAGACAGACAAAGCACCAACGAAAGGCUGUUCUCUCCAGCUAAAGGACCAGGAAAGGAGCUGCCUCUGCAAGACAGAAAAUGUUUAGACAAUGGCUGCGCUACUUUAGCCAACCACCACAGAAAACACUUUGACUUCGCUCUCACCCACGUUAAGAUCUUGUGGGGAGCCCAGAAUUUCACCCUGUGAGGCUGUAACAAGUUUCUCCAAUACUCCCACUAGGGUGGUGUCAGAGAGACCGAGUGGGAAGUUGGGACUUUCAUUCCUUUUGGCCAGUAACUAGCUCCUUGUCUCCGCAGUCUUAGUGAAGACUACGUGGGAGUCUGAACUCCUGUCCUCUCCCAGCAAUAACAAAGAGGCUCCCCUCAAGUUUCAGUGGAGCCAAAUAGGGAACCCAGACUUCUACAUUCACCUGCAGUAAUGAGUUGGCACUCCUGCUGGAGCAGUGUCAGAUAAGAACAGAUGAAAAAGAAGGUUUAUUUAAAGAGCAAGCAUCUCAGAACAUAAUGUGAAAAUGUCCAGGCUUAAAUUGAAAAUCACUUAUAUAUAUUAUGAAAAUCACUUAUACAAAGAACUAGAAAAAUCUCAAACUGAAUGAAAAAUUAAAAAAAAAAUCAAAUGCCAACACUGGGAUGACUGAGAUAUUAAAACUAUCUGACAAAUAUUUUAAAGUACCCAUAAUUUAAAACAAUGCUUCAGAAAGCAGUUAGGAAACCACUUGAAACAAAUUCUUUAAAUGGAAAGGUUUUUUUUUUUUUUGCCAAUGACUCCAUCAGCAGCAGCAAAAAAAAAAAAAAAAAAAAUCUCAGUCGAGAAAUAAAAGAUAUAAAGAACAAAACAAAAAUUUUAGAACUCAAAAUAUAAUAACCUGAGUAAAAAGCUCAGUGAAUGGGCUCAAUAGUAAAAUAGAGGGGGCAAAUGAGAAAAAUCACUUAGCUGUUAGAAUAGAAUUUCCCCAAUAAGACCAACACAGAGAAAAAUAGACUUGAAAACAAAUGAACGAGGUAUUCUUAGGGAUUCAUGGGACUCUAAUAAAAGAUAUAGCAUUCAUGUCAUUGAAGUUCCAGAAGGAGAGGAAAAAUAAGGGGAGGCUGGAAAAGUACUUAAAGAAAUCACGGCUGAAAAAUGUCCUAAAGUUGACAAGAGAUAUAAACUUACAGAUUCGAGAAGCUAAGAGAACCCUAAACAUAAUAAACCUGAAUAACUCACAACAAGACUUAUAAUUAAGCUUCUGAAAACUAAAGACAAAGAGAAAAUAUUGAAAGCCACCAGAGGAAAACAACUUACUUAUAUAAGGGGAAAAUAACUAGAAUAAUAGUGGAUUUCUCAUCAGAAACCAUGGAGGCCAAAAGGAAGUUGUACCAUAUUUUUCUAGGUGCUGCAAGAAAAGAAUUGUCAACCCAGAAUCCCAUACCCAGUGAAAUAUAUCCUGCAAGAAAUAAAGGGGAACUUGAGACAUCCUCAGAUGAAGGAAAACUAAGAGAAUUUGUUGCCUGAAAGCCUACCCUAAAAGAAUGACUAAAUGAAGUUUUCUUAAAACAGAAAGGAAACAAUAAAAGAAGGAAGCCUGGAACAUCAGAGAUAAAGAAGGUAUAUAGUAAGCAGAAAUAUAGCUAUAUACAAUAGGCUUCCCUUCUCCUCUUGGGCUUUCUAAAUUAUAUUUUAUUGUAGAAGCCAAAAUUAUAAUACUGAC
rnacentral:lncRNA from 10 species